rnacentral:rRNA from 1 species
AGUCGAGCGGAGACAGUGAGUAGCUUGCUAUGAGCUGUUUUAGCGGCGGACGGGUGAGUAACGCGUGAGCAACCUUUCCCAGACAGGGGAAUAACACACCGAAAGGUGUACUAAUACCGCAUAAGACCACGGGAUCACAUGGUUCUGAGGUAAAAGAUUUAUCGGUUUGGGGUGGGCUCGCGUCCGAUUAGGUAGUUGGUGAGGUAACGGCCCACCAAGCCGACGAUCGGUAGCCGACCUGAGAGGGUGAUCGGCCACAUUGGGACUGAGACACGGCCCAAACUCCUACGGGAGGCAGCAGUGGGGAAUAUUGGGCAAUGGAGGAAACUCUGACCCAGCAACACCGCGUGGAGGAAGAAGGUUUUCGGAUCGUAAACUCCUGUCCUUGGAGACGAGUAGAAGACGGUAUCCAAGGAGGAAGCCCCGGCUAACUACGUGCCAGCAGCCGCGGUAAUACGUAGGGGGCAAGCGUUGUCCGGAAUAAUUGGGCGUAAAGGGCGCGUAGGCGGCUCGGUAAGUCUGGAGUGAAAGUCCUGCUUUUAAGGUGGGAAUUGCUUUGGAUACUGUCGGGCUUGAGUGCAGGAGAGGUUAGUGGAAUUCCCAGUGUAGCGGUGAAAUGCGUAGAGAUUGGGAGGAACACCAGUGGCGAAGGCGACUAACUGGACUGUAACUGACGCUGAGGCGCGAAAGUGUGGGGAGCAAACAGGAUUAGAUACCCUGGUAGUCCACACUGUAAACGAUGAAUGCUAGGUGUAGGGGGUAUCGACCCCUUCUGUGCCGCAGUCAACACAAUAAGCAUUCCGCCUGGGGAGUACGGCCGCAAGGUUGAA